CAGUUAAUGAACUGGGAAAGGUAACUGGCUCCCAAACCUGUUAGAGCCUGGAAAAUGGAUCUAACAAUUAUAUUGCUACUGAAUGAUCCGGGAUAGAAAAGAAAUGCUUCAAAAAGCCAGGGAGGAAAAACGUUUAGAGAAUGGAUAUAGUGUCAUUGUUCUGCUAGACAAAGCCGACACGUCUGCUCCUAUCCUAUGGCGAGUUCAAGCCAGGCCAGUCUUUAUUUAUGAAUUUUGCCUGGUCUCCCACGGAAUCCACUGGUUUCAGUUCUUUCUAUGACCUAAUUACCCCACAACCUGGCUUUUCCUAAAGGGGCAGCUUCAGUUCCCACACCAGCCUAGGAGAGUGGCCAAGGGACCUGUGGAAGAGGAGACAAAGGUGAUAUUGUCCCUCAGAGUCUUUGUCACUUCAAACUGGAUCAGAAAGUAAGAUAAGGUGGCCCAGAUAAGCUCCAGAAGAGGAUUUUAGGCCAAGUCGGUAAAGGUGGCAGAGAGGACUGAGGCCACGGACCAGGGAGACACUGUGGUAAGGUGGAAAGAAAAUCAACAGCGUGUUCACAAGGAACUUGAGAGUGGAAAAUUCUAGAAUCCUCUACUUCCUCAAUGCUUCCUCUCGCUCUUCCUCUCUUCAUCAAUUUCUCUUUGUCUUUUUUUUUUUUAAUCUGUUUUUUCCUAAUGGACCAAUUUAAAGCCUUCUAUAACUUCAUAGCCAUUCUGGGCUCCUCUUCUGCUCCUUAUUCUACAGCUCUGAGCCCUUACUCCUCUCCCAUCCUUAAACACUUCAGAACCUCGCUGCACCCCUGGACAGUGUGUCCCCUUCCUGUGUUCAGCAACAGUGUGACAGGCCUGGGUUCUGUGUCUUGUAGUUUGAGUGGGACAUUUAUUUAGGAAAUAAUGACAAUGAUCAUGAAGUGAUAAAGGCGAAUUGCUGCAGUUUGGAUCUGAAACGUCCUCCAGAAGCCCAUGUGUUCAAGAUUUCCCUGGCCACAGCUGAAAACCAUGUCAAUGGACAAGAAGGUGGCCCUGACACUCAUUCAGCAAGCGUGCCUGGUGUGCCUGGGUAACAAGACUGCGCACUGUUCUAGGCCACAGAGACAGGGCAGCGAAGAAGAGAGACCAGCUCUUGUAGCCCUGGUGUUUGGCACGCAGUGAGGACAGUGGAACAACUGGAGGUCGGGAAAGUGGGGGAUUCCUUCCCUGCCCAUGAUAAAGGGUCAUGGGGGACAUCCCUAAAGCAAUGGCAGGUUAGCAAGAGGAAAGUGAGUGUGACAAAUGGAUGUAUCAAGUUUGCAGCUGACCAGUCCAUGGGUCAAGUCACGCAGCAUGCUGUACUCAAAAGUUCCGGGAAUUAUAGACCAGGAGCCCUGUACUCUAACCUCACCAUUGGUGUGAACUGACAUGUGCUCAUUUAUCUUUCUGAAUCUUCUUUUCUCCUUACGAGGAAGUGUGCCUCCACAAUCUUCAAAUUCUCCUCUCAAGCUAAAAUGCGGAGAUCUUCAUUUAUGAAUCUCACGUAGUCCAGUCCUUAUAUUUUUCCCAAUAAAUCAAUUAAAAAAUUGUAUAAAGUUCAAUUUAAUUUUUGUGCUUU